GGCUAAUGUCUAUCACAUUGAAAGAUCCUGACAGGCCUAACUAUUAUUGGCAAGGAGGUUCCUAGCUCCUUCACAAAGUUACCUUUUAAACACAACUAAAAAAACUCACUUCUUAUAGUGCCCUUAUUGAGUACAGCGCCAGCAUCGGUCAGUUCGACCAUACUCUAUUCAUCUGGUGCUUGAUUUGCAAAUUCAUUUGCUACCCCUCCUCUGGGCACCCCUUCAGUGAGUACUUGCUAUUAGCUUGUUUUCUUGUCAUGGGUCAGCCCUGUGCUCUUGGUACCAUGUUGCUGGCUUCUAUUUUCCAAGCUCUAUCUAUCAUGGUAUCAGAUAAUGCGCUAUUGACCAAGAUGAAUGGUACAUUUUGGAUUAUACAGC
rnacentral:misc_RNA from 1 species